rnacentral:rRNA from 1 species
AUGCACGCUGGCGGCGUGCUUCACACCUGCAAGUCGAACGGUGAACACGGAGCUUGCUCUGUGGGAUCAGUGGCGAACGGGUGAGUAACACGUGAGCAACCUGCCCCUGACUCUGGGAUAAGCGCUGGAAACGGCGUCUAAUACUGGAUAUGUGACGUGACCGCAUGGUCUGCGUUUGGAAAGAUUUUUCGGUUGGGGAUGGGCUCGCGGCCUAUCAGCUUGUUGGUGAGGUAAUGGCUCACCAAGGCGUCGACGGGUAGCCGGCCUGAGAGGGUGACCGGCCACACUGGGACUGAGACACGGCCCAGACUCCUACGGGAGGCAGCAGUGGGGAAUAUUGCACAAUGGGCGCAAGCCUGAUGCAGCAACGCCGCGUGAGGGAUGACGGCCUUCGGGUUGUAAACCUCUUUUAGCAGGGAAGAAGCGAAAGUGACGGUACCUGCAGAAAAAGCGCCGGCUAACUACGUG